CCUCCAGGCUCCUGCCCUGCUUGAGUCCCCGCCCUGACUUCCUUCAGAGGCUGUGUGCUAUCUGUGCCACGGAGGGGACACAGCAAAACUGGAAGGCAUCUCAACGAGCACCACGACUCCUCCGUGGCACUCGCACCUCCCCUCAGAACCUGCCUCACUGAAGCAAUUGAAAACUUCCAGCCUGAGUCUGCACAUAUCCAUUGGUUCCCACUUUCUGCUGCAUGUCCCAAGAAUGCAUUGCUGAAGACAAGGAGAUGACCUUUCCCCAACUCCCACGGCAGCAGAGGGGCAAGGAAGAACCUUCCAGACGGCAGAGCAAUUGGCCACAAAAAAGGGAUGGAAAAGAGUCCUCUUCCCAGGGAGUCCAGUCAGGGACCAGAAGGUGUGAAUAAGGCUGAAUAGAAAAAUGUGGCAGAACUGAAAUCACCUCCCAAAGAGCAGAGAGCCUCUCACAGCAUCCCAGGAGCAGCAGCUGUCACGGCCAGGCUCCAGAAGAACGGCCCAUUGCACCAUUAUAUCUCCUCCCUGAGGUCCGGCUCACCCCCGGCCGAGCUUGGAAGGCUCCGUGGGCUGGGCUUCCCAUGGACACCUGCAAUCGUCUCUAUAUUGUGACACACAGACAGUGCCUUCUGGUCCUAGAAUGUUGCCAUUGCAGCCUUCAGCACACCAAGGUUUGAGAAACGAGAGUCUUCAUAUCUUUUUAGAGAUCAGAACAGACAAUUCCAACCAGCCAGUCAUUCAGUUAAUUAAAGAAGGGACUGAUAACCUGCUGCCUGUCAAAUGCCACGCUGGACUUUGUAGAUAAGGAGCUCAAAUUGUGCCAAAAUAUAUAGACACUUGCACUUACAAAAUCUAUAGACGCCAUCCCACUUCCCUUUGCUCUUCCCCUCCAUGUCCUGUGUGUUUUUCACAGAGUCCCACCAACACGACCGAGAGGCUCAGUCAUAGGUUUCACUCACAUCCUGAUCUGUCAUCAUUGGGUAAUUUCGGACAAGCUUUGUAACAGUCAACUUCUCUGUAACCCUGAAGUGAAGAUAAUAUAGUCCUUCCACUAUAAUAUAUAUAAUAAUAUAAUAUAAUAUAAUAACAUAUUAUAUGUCCAUAUAUGUAUAUAUGGACAGGGGGCAGCAAACGGUUAGUGCCGUAUCGAUAUUUAAGUGUGUUUGCUAUCCACUGAAGUUCAGAUUUCCCAAGUGUCCUUUGGACACUUGUGUGGGUGUGAUCCUGCUAAAAGAUUUCACUCAGAGGUGUCGACUGGUGACAGUCAUUUAUAACAGCCUAUGCAUAGAGAGGAAUCUUACAGGCUAGACUUAAUUUAUUUAAUUCAUUUAUUUAUUUGACACAGGGUCUCAGUAUUUAUCCCUCUCUGGUCUGGAACUCAUUAUGUAGAUAAACCUGGCCUUGAACUCAGAGAUCCACCCCUGCUUCUUGCCUCCCGGGUAUUCCGGACUUAAAAAAAUAAAUAUGUGCGCAGUA